CAAUUACUCCCUCCGUCCGGAAAUACUUGUUUUAGAAAUGGUUGUAUCUAGACUUAUUUUAGUUAUAGAUACAUUCAUUUUCAACCAUUUUUAGGACAAGUAUUUUCGGACGGAGGGAGUAUUUG
rnacentral:pre_miRNA from 1 species